ACUUGGUAGACUGGUUUUAAGCAUGGAAGGAUUUAAAUAGAUCAAACCGGCUUCUCUGUUGAGUGAGAAUUGCAGGAAGCCUUAUUCAGAGGUAAGAGAUGCCGGUGGUUUGGGCAAGGGUGAUGUUGGAGAAAGGUGGGUGGAUUUUAGAGUAAAAUUAUCUCGUGAAUUAAAAUUAUCUAGAAAUGAUGAUGGAUUUGGUUAAGGAAUGAGGGGAAGGUAAGGAGUAAUUUCAAAGGUAAUAAUAAUAGCUAAUAUGGUGCCAGGCAUCAUUCUAAGUCUUUACAUAUAUUAGCUUUACAUAUAUUAGCUCAUUUAAUCCAUGAAGGACAAUGUAUGAUUUUCCUCACUUUAUAAAGGAGUAACUUGAGGCACAAAAAGUUUAAAUACCUUGUCCAAGGUUCCAUAGCACACAGUCUGAGUUGAGAUGUGAACACAGAGCCUGAGGUUCAAGUCCUUUUUCUAAACCAGUGAUUCUCAAAGGAGACAUUGUUGGUUGUCACAGCUGGGGCUGGAGUGCUACUGAUAUCUAGGGAUAGAGGACAGAGAUGCUGCUAAAUAUCCUACAAUGCACAAGAUAGUCCCCACGACAAGAAAUUACCCAGCCCAAAAUGUCAGUAGUGCCCAGGUUGAGAAACCCUGUUGCAAAUUGCUACAUUAUAUUAAUACUACCUACUGAGGGUAGCCGGUAGGCUUCUUAGACAACUGGUUUACCAAUACUGGGCGAAGACCAGUUUGAGGGAGACUGAGUUGCUUUCUGGACACAUCCAGUUGAGGUCCUUUAAGGCACCUAGGAAGAUAGGGCAAGUAAACUGCUGGAUGCUCGCUUGGCUUUGUAAUUCAGAGAGGUCUGGCACUGCUUGGAGUAGGUUUCUAUUCCUGGCAACUGCAUACACCAAAAUAUCUCCUGUAUUUUUAUAGUGUAUUUGUUUGUUUGUUUAUACCCCCACCCUCUUCCAGAAAGGAUGCAAAGCUGCUUAGGAGGAUAAGGAACACGCAAGAGUCUGAUGUAAGUUAAAAGUAGGACAAAGGAACACAUUCACAUAAGGGUGGAGACAUAGGAUGGAGCCAGCAAUGAGGCUAAAAGGAACCCUAAUCCCAUUCCUGGCAGCUGCAGGGCUCUUCUUACAAUCUUACUGGACUCCUUUAUCCCAGUCUCUGCUGAGAUCUCUGCCUCCUCUCCAGGAGAUGAACCCCAAUCCUCACCUCUUGGCUGCCCUGCAGCUGAGAUGAAAACUGAAUGUGCUUACUGUCUUUUAGGUUCCUGGCACCUAGUGGGAGAACAAUACAUAGUUGUAGAGAGAAACUCCAGGGAUGGGGUUGUGAACAAGACCCAAAGCCUCCCCCAUAGAGCUUCCUUUUGAAUGGGGGAGACAAACCAAAAAGGGGAGCAACCGUUGAUAUGAGCAUUCGUGCUUUGUUUUGCUUAUCAGAUAAUUUAAUAGCUAGUUCCAAGGCGUCUUUCAUGCUAUAAAGAAACAAAAAAGGACCCAAGAAAAAAUGAUGAGGAGAAGUAUGGUGGUUGGGGAAGCCUCUGUGAGAAGGUGAUAUGCAAGCUGAGACCUAGAAGAGGAGAAGGGACAGAGUUUCAUAGAGUCGGGUGAAGGCAUUCCAACCAGGAAACAGCGUGGACAGAUAGCCCUGGAUGGGAAACAACUAUGGUCUUUGAGAAACCGGGAAGAGGCCAGCAGGCCUGAAGCAGGAUGAGUGAAGAGAGAGGGUGGGAAAACAGCCAGGACCUUGCAGGCAUAGGAAAGAGUUUGGGUUUUAUUUCAAGUGCAGUAAGGAGCUAUGGAAGGACUACGUGGCAGAGAUCAACAAUUGUCCACAAGUAUCCAUUCUCCCCUUUGUCCUGAUUCAUAAAAUCCACAAGGUUGAACUGGGCAUGUGGCUGCCUGGAAUAAGAACAACUUUUCCCAGCCUCUUUUGCAGAUGUGGUCAUGUGACUUAAGCUCUGGCUGCUAGAAUCCAAGCUGGGGUGGUGUAUGCAACUUCUGAGUAGUAUCUUUGAAAGGGGGAUGUGUGUCCCCACUCCUCCUUGCUGCUAUGUGGGGUAUAGAUUAAAUGGCUGGAACCCCAGCACCAUCUCAGACUCUGAAGUGACCUUGGAAAUAAAAGCCAGGAUUGGAGAUGCCACAAUGUAGACAGAGCCUGGAUUCCUGACUCCGUUGAACUGCCAUAGUCUCAGGUAGCCAGCUGCCAGAUGCUUCUGGGAGGGAGGGAAAAGCAUCUAUCUUGCUGAAGCCACUGUUAGUGUGCAUUUUCUGUCACAGCUAAACCUAAUUCUAACUGAUAAAGGCUUUCAGGAGGAACCACAUGAUUCCGUUUAUCACAUCAGAAGCUCCCUUAGGCCCUUGUGAGGAGCAGAAGAUUGAAAGGGAGUGAGUACAGAGCAGGGAGAUAGGGGCAGAGGCUGCUGCAAUCAUCCAGGCAAAUGAAUGAACAAAUGAAUGAAUGAAUUGUAACCGGACCCAGGUUCAGUUGCUCUCUGCUUGAAAGCCAAAACUCAAGAAAUGAGACUUGGUGGGAGGAAAAACAGGUUUUUCGGGAAGCCAGCAAACGGAGAAAAUGGUAGACUACCAUCCUAAAAUGCCAUCUUAAGUCAGCACAAAUUUCAGGCUUUUUUUUAUGUUAAGGGCAGGGGAAGAAGAGGGAGUUGGGAUCAAGAUGUGACUGAUGACUGCAGACCUCUGGGUGCCAGUGAGGGCCUGAGGAGUUUGGGAACUUCUUUGUCCUUGGUCAGGUCACAAUGCUCCUGUAAAUCUUUAACAAAACACAGUUGUUUACAUACUUUCCCUUUAACCCCAGAGUUAUUUUUUAAAACUACAUAAUUGCUGUUUUUGUGUAUUAUCUAUAUGGAUCUUUAACAAAACAUGAUUGUUUACAUACUUUCCCUAUAACCCCAGAGUUGGCUUUUAAAACUACAUGAUUGCUGUUUUUGUGUAUUAUCUCAGUGCUCUAAAAUUAUCCUAGCCUACACGCGGGCAUGGGUUAAAGCCCCUUACACAAAUACGGCCAUUUCUCUGGGCCAGGAGCCAGCUGUUCCCAAAAUGGCCACGAUGCCUCAGGAGGGAGGUUGACACCCUGUGCUCUCAGAAGCAGCUCAGAGCUCAGAGGCAGACCUCUACUCAUGCAAUUCUGCCUUCUGUGCAUGCAAUGGAUUGCUGCCAUCUCCAAUCAGCCACAAUGGGAGGCCACCUGCUAGACAUGGAAGAGCCACCGGAUGGAAGAAGCCUGGGUCUCUGAAAUACUGCUUGGAGUAGACUACUCUGCCUGCAAACUAGGAGCACUGAUUUUGGACUUUUUGGGAGGGACUUCUAUGCCCUCUGCAGUUUGCCUCUUCCUCUGCUAUUUUUUCAUGUAUGUGUAUGUUUUUUGCCUGUAUUUGCAAUGCCAGCCAUCAUUUGCCAUGUCUUCUAGCGGCAACCUGCAUUUAGCCCAGAUCUGCUGUGAUUAUUCCUUUUCACAAACCACAAUGACUCUGGAAAACCUGGCUGUAAACACCAGCACUGCCACCAGCUAAGGAUCUGUGAUCAGGAGUGCCAUCUCACGGUAACAGGAAUAUGAAGUCUGAGGUUUCUGCUCUGACAAGAGGAAAUGUCUAACAGCAGAAGACAAAAGUGAAACCGGGCUGAUGCGAAUCACUGGGAAACUGGCUUUGGCACCUCCAGAGAAUGAACUGUUUCAUAGCCUAGCUGACCAUCCAUGAAAAUGGCUGCCUGGAGAGGCAGUGAUCAGCCCAUCCCUGCAGGGUGAAGAUAAGCUUGUGCAGGCCACUGGCUAACACAGUUCAUCCCAUGCCUCCUACAUACCAAGCACUGUGCCAGGCACUUUUCACGUCUGGCAUCCUCAGAAUCCUCCAAAAGGAGAGGUUCGUGGAGGAUAAUGCUGUCAGGCUUGGAAGCAGCAGUAGAGAUCACGUUGCCCAGCUCUUGGCAUCAUUGGUUCCCAAAGCUCUGAAUCCCCUGGAGAGCUUUUGUAAAAGGUCGGAUUCAGACAAUCCGGUGGAGCACUCUGAAAUUUAGAGGAAGUGGUCAAAUAGAAUUUUCUGGAAUUAUGGAAAUCUUCUAUUCUGUGCAUCUAGUAUAGUAGAAUCUAGUCACAUGUGGCUUUUGAGAACUGGAAAUAUGGCUAAUGCAACAGAGAAAGUGAAUUUUUACUUUUGAUUCAUUUAAAUAUAAAUGGUCACAUAUGACAUCACUGCCAUAUUGGACAUUGCAGUUCUGGAAGAUGGCAGAUGCAGCCCUCAGAAGAAUUAUCAGCCUGAAUGUCUGGGCGGAGCAGAGCACUACCUUCCCACUCACUCUUCCCCUCCUCUCGCCCCCUCCCCUGCCUCACUUGCAUCAGAUUAUGAUGUGAGCAAAAGCAGGAAACAGCUCUUUUGAUAGGCCUGUGAGACUUGCUGUUCGUUGGAGUAGCUAGGCUGCUCUGACUCAUACAGACCCAAAUCCUGGCAACCACUUUUAUGAAGAAAUGACAAUUCAGUCUACUACUUGUCCAUUUUACAUGCCCAAGGAAUGUGAGGGGCCUCUGCUUGGAUCUAGUUUUCAACCUAGUCUAUGGCAUUGAUUAUCCUUUUAAAAGACAAAAGAGGUGACUUCACGGGCACUUAACAUCUUGGCCAUACUGACCCCAGUUGCACGCUACGUAGGAAGUUUUAGUCCAUUUAAACUGAAGUUCCAAUUUUUUUUUUAACAACUAUUUAAAAAUUGUACAUGUCCCAUACAUGACAGAGAAAGGGUUGUCUGGUUGGAUGAUUUUUGGCUUGCAAAAAGAGAACACAAAAGAAAAGCAUACGUUUUAAUACUCAAGAGACCAAAUUUUCUGCUGAAGAGGAAAUGAACUACAUAUCCAGAAGGGUCCUACCAAGAGGCCAAACAGACUGUGUUCUCUUGGGGGAGUUCUCAGUGGUGAUGAGAACACCACUUUUUUUUUUUUUUUAGUCAUUUUCAAGGUGAGAUAUUGACUUGCUGCUGGAGCAGGACAACUGGUCUCUCUUUCAUUGCUAGCAGCAGAGUAAGGGUCUUGCAAGUUUCAGGCAGCAGCAGAGAAAGGGUCUUGCAAGUUUCAGUCCAAAGCAAGAAGAGCUAGGAUUGCACCAGCUGUCUCACCUACUCUGUGCUCACCUGUUUCUGGAUGAAGCACGGUGACAUCUGUUUUAUUGUAAAGAGAACCAACUUUGGAAUCAAAUGGAACCUGUAUUAAAAUCCUGAAUCCGUCACUAGCUUGGACAAGUCA
rnacentral:lncRNA from 1 species